rnacentral:rRNA from 1 species
UGGGGAAUUUUGCACAAUGGGGGAAACCCUGAUGCAGCGACGCCGCGUGAUUUAGAAGGCCUUCGGGUUGUAAAAAUCUUUUCUAUGGGAAGAAAAUGACAGUACCAUAGGAAUAAGGACCGGCUAAUUACGUGCCAGCAGCCGCGGUAAUACGUAAGGUCCGAGCGUUGUCCGGAAUCAUUGGGCGUAAAGGGUACGUAGGCGGGUAAGCAAGUUAGAAGUGAAAUCCUGUAGCUCAACUACAGUAAGCUUUUAAAACUGCUCAUCUUGAGAUAUGGAAGUGAAAGUGGAAUUCCUAGUGUAGCGGUGAAAUGCGCAGAUAUUAGGAGGAAUACCGGUGGCGAAGGCGACUUUCUGGCCAUAAUCUGACGCUGAGGUACGAACGCGUGGGUAGCAAACAGG